ACAUCAUCUACCAUAUGCAAAUGUCUGACAUAAAAGACACUUCUUUAUAGACUUUUGUAGGCCUUGGCUACGAUGACCUUAAUCACCAAGAGAAAUGUUGGAAGGUAAGUAUACUCUGCAAUGCUGAGCAGUGCUGUACUCAUAAAGGGUUUAGAAGAACUGGGGGGCUCAGCUUCCAGCUGUAAAGACCACAAUAUAUAGCCAUCAUUUUCACAGUGUGGUCUUAGAGGUGCAGGUUUUCUCAUACAGCAUGACCGGUUGCUGGGCCUACAGAGAGAUAUCGGAUACUCCUCUCCUAUGGCUUUCUGCUUUACAGCAGAAGUGAUGUUUUCACAGCCAGAUCUAUCAUCUUUCUUUCACACACGCAGUUUUUUUUCUAUUUCUUUUUUCUUCUUCAUUUUCGUAAGCUGUAUGUGGGAGGAUGUGGCUAUGUGGUCAUUGUGCUUGAUAAAGGGAUGCUAAAAGCAUUCAGCAUUAAGAGGUGGAUAGGUGAUGUGAGUUGUUUUCUACGAUGAAGAAAGUUGUUGUUAGAUUUCUUAAUUGUUUUUUUUUUUUUCUGCUUCUGACUUUUCCUGUCCCAGCUUGAGGCAAUGUAUGGUCCGUGUUGAUGUAAGCAGGAUAAUUGUGUAAAUAAAUGUCUGCCCUGCAGUGGAAAAAGAGAAAGAGAUUAAUUUUAGAAUUGGGUGUAUCUCAUUUGUCCAGAUAACUGUUGUAAUUUCAUGGAGAUGAAGGGACAUCCAACAAAAUGGUCAUUUGGAUGCUUACCUUCUCUCUUGCUCCUUAUUUAUGAUUGUUUAUAUGUUGCUCUGUGCAAUUGCAUCAGUACGAUCCUGAUAAUGUGGGCUCAUAUUUUAUACUUAUGAGGUUAAUUAACUGCAAAGCUCCAGGGAGCCUGUUUCUACCAUUGCAGAUGACGGGGGACUGUUCAGUGAGUUUGCAGACCCUGAUACAGAUCUUUAACCAUGUUCAUCAGAUCUUUUGCUGCCUUGAAAGGUACCUAUACUUUUCCCUAUUCCUGGGAGCCGGCAGACUGACUGGCACAGGCAGAGGGGGAGGACUGGCCUGAAGGAAGAGGAAAAACUCAUAUGAGGAAAGUAAACCCAUCCUUUGAUGGCUUGCAAGGGCUUUUGCAGGCACCAUGAAGCACUCAAGGGUGGCAGUGAUAGCUGGAAGAGAAUGAAGCCUAGCAGAAGCGCCUAAGUAUGUAAUCCUGUGAAUCUCACUGACCCAUCACUUCUCUCUUCUUCCAUCCCUGCACAGGAGAUUUUUAUAACGCCCAGCAGAUUAAACCUCCAGGUUGGCUCUGAUAUUCAGUAGACUCAACAUAAGUUUAUGUUGGUGGGGUUCUGCAUUAUGCCUCUACCUACAAAAGCUUGCAACUUCACUGCAACACGCUGAAAACAUGAAAUCUCCUCUAGAAUGUUAUAAAAUGUCUUUUUUCUUUCCUAGUUACGUAAUUAAAAUCCAGUCAGAAGAAAAAUUAGUUCUCCCAGACUUCAUGUUUAUUUGGAUAGACUUCUAUGGCAGGCAUGUUUACAUCUGUGAUACUGAACCUCAGGGAAUUCAUUUCAUUUCAGGGCCGCCAAGUCUCACAAUUCCCAUGAGAUUUUUAGCUAUAAUUUUAAAACCUGUUGUUAUGGAGAAAGCCUUGAAAAUUAGAAGAAGGAUGUCUCAGAGAAAUAGAAGGAGAUGACAGUUUGUGGUUUUGGAAUUGCUCAAGAAAAUAUUUCAAGUCUCCAUCACUAUGACUCUGAGUUUGGAGCUAGUUCAUGCUGUACACUGAAUGCUACAUGAGAUAGGCUGAAUACAAGAAGUCAGUGAAAUAAAUCUAUAUUAACAGCAUCUCUAUCUUGCAGAAUGGAAACAAGCACAAAGAAUCUGAUCUUCUCAGGGCUGCUUAUAGAACUUCUGGCUCCACGUACCUUGAAGGAGGCUCAGCUGCUCUGUAAAUAGACACAUCUGGUCCCGUUCCAGACUUGGGACGCUGUGUUUUAAUCUAUCUUCACAUGGAAGCCAGCAUGGCAAGUGGCAGCCACUCUGUAACCAUAAGUUCUUGUACCUGUGUUUCUUCUUCUCCUGCAUGGCAAGAACAGUGAUGUGCCCAGGGAAGUACUAGCUAACUUAGGAAUGUUUGUAACCUUUUCUGAGGGUUUCUUCCUCUCAAAGCUCAAGGGACUGAGACACCUCAGAAUUAAGAUCAUUCUAGUGAAGGACAACCUAAAUGUGAAGGAAAUCAGUUUUCAGAUGUUCUCAUCUACUUUGUUUCAAAACCAUUUAUCAAACACUUUGCUUUAAAUGUGAUCCAAGAGCACUCAGGCAGUGGUCCCAGAAUACUCCCGAGCAGCCAGGCCAUCUGGCUGGAGCAGUGUGUGCAAGGCCUGGACAUGUUGUAUGUAAUAUGAGGUUUACCUCACAUAAUGAUUCUUCAGGAGCUGAGCGGGCUCCUGGUCAUCAAAAAUACAUAGUGAGAGAGAUAGUCACAGACACUGACCUAGUGUAGGAGAAGGUGGCUGCAAACCCAACAUAAGCUUAAGGUCAGCUCCUGUGCUGGCUCACUGCUUAUGGCAUGAGGCAUCUUCUCUUUCCCGUGAAGCUCCCUGCUGUGGGCAUUGAGCCUUCUCAAGGGGCCUAGCUACAGCACUGGGGACCCUGGACACCUCACAGGCUCCAAGCCCCUCUAGGACAAAGCAGCAUAGACGAUUCUGGUGCUGAAGAAAGGUUAAGGCUGGGGCUGCACCCUCAAGGCAGCCUCAACAGCAGAUGAAGUUACUUUCCUUCCUACCAGUACACUCUUCACACACCUUCUGCUGGAUGUUUGUUCCACAUGCAGCAGCUCUUCACCUGCUUCAAACUCAGAGGUCUCCUAAAGGCACGUGCUCCUGCCUCUGGGCCCUCCACCACUUGUAAACUACCUGCAGUUUGUGCUUUCUGUGCAGAAAAGAAAACAACAGUGAGAACUAAUGCACGUGUGUGAGAGGAAUGCAUGUGUGUGAGAAGCCUCAAAGCAGCACCAAUGUUUUUUAUCUUCUCAAGCCUUCUGCUUAUCUCCUUUUUAGAGCUUCUCCAUUCCACCUCAGUCUGACACUGUGCCCCACUGCAGUCAUGCAAAACCCAAUAGCACUCUGGUCUCCUAAGCCUCUUUCAUUUAUUUUUUUUUUCCAGAAAUUUUCCAUUCUAUUCCACGUUAUGACCUUUGAAUAGCUCCCAUAUAACCUGCAGGUGCGCUUGCUCCUAACCUCCUAUUUCAGCAUAACAGCAUAGGAGCAGAAGGGAACCUUUUGAUCAACAAAUCCAGUCCUCUGCUCAGACAAGAAACCAUGUCAUAUAAUCUUUGACUCGAUCUGAUUUAGCUCAGUCUUAACAUAAGUUGGCUUUUGUGCCCCGUGCUUCCUUCUACCCAGCUGUUUUUGCUGCUUCAGUGAUGAAAAAGCCCCCGACUUCCAAAAUUACCCUGAUAGUUAUUAUUUGGCUCUCCACUAGCUCCAAGGUAUUUCUGCAAUGAACAACUACUGCUUUGCUUCAGGAGGCUGAACAAGACAAGCUGCCUUUAUCUCCUCUGGAAAUACGGGCUACCCAAUCCCUUACUCUCCUUAUACCCGCCAGGUCUGUAUGGCUCUCUCCUUAGGAGCUCGUCAGGCAGAGGUAAAUUGGUGCAGUUGUCUGCUAGAGUUGUUAUUAGAGAUGAUUCUGAGAUGCAAUAGAAUGUGGAUGAGUAUCUUCAGAACUAAGGGAGCUAGGACCCAGGCGUGUGCUCUGUGCUUUGCCUCUUAAUUAUUAAUAGUUAUUAUUUAUUAUUGAUUAUAGUGGUUUGCCCAAAACACUAAUGAAAAUGUAGACGCAAUUCCAAAGAUCUGG
ensembl:lncRNA